GCACUGUGUUGUUUGAAAUGCUCUUCAAGGCACUCGGUGACUCACAGCAGCAGCUGGAAGGAAUAAGCGGUUGCCCUGAUGCAACGCGGCCACGCGGAGGCCACGCGGAGGCCACCCAUCCCACUGGGACGCGCGGGGGGACGCGGAGCUGCUGAAGGUGUUACGGAGCAGCAGACCUCACCGUCACCCUCCCUGGCCCUGGGAUAGCCUGGAAAGGCUGGCUCUGAUGGAACACUCCCUGCCUCCAAGGGAGCAGCAAUGGAAAAUCCUGCGCCAGCCUCGUCUCCAUCCCCACUCGCCCCGGGGGACGCGCUCGCCGCCAGGGCAUAUGUUUUCAGUUCUUGCCGAGGCUGACUUGAGAAAUUCUCUCUCCCUCCCAGCUUUUCUGUUGCAAAAAAAAAAAAAAACCAGCAACCGCAGGGCCGAGGCGGCGGUGGAUGAUAAAUGAGCUGCUCCGGCCGUGCGCAGCCAAGGCCCCAGGAAGCUGCUCCCAGGCUACGUGCUGGUGGGAUGCGGGGCCACGGGGGGGCUGGGGGCUCAUGUCACCCCUGGGGCGACCGUGGGGACAAAGAGAGGCUCCGGCCCCGCUGCACGCUGGUGCUUGAACGCAGCGUGGUGUUUCCUCGCUCAUCUGCAGUGCAGGAGGGGCAGCAUCUGUCGGCCCCACGGGCGGCUCCUGGGUGGGCAGUGGGGCUUCGGGGGCAGCCCUGGGCUCAGCAGGAGGAGAGGCUGCGGGGAUGGGUGGAGCCUUUCCCUGCAGCGUCGCUGCUUGGGGUGCUGCUGCUGGUGGGGGAGCUUUCCCCGGGUUGGGGUUGCAUCCUAUUGGGUCUCGUCAAGACGUGUCACGAAAUCACCCUCGUCAAGACGUGUCACGAAAUCACCGCGUGGAGACGGCAGUGCUGGCAGGGAGAAGGGGCGAUGCUGGAGAGACCUUUAAAGAGCAUUCGAGUCAUGCCCGCCCCGCCACGCGCCGCGCUCCCGACACCCUCACCACAUAGAGCAGCCGCAACAUCAGGCCUAUAAAUAAAUAAAAUAUAACGAGGCCCUGCUGUCUUCUGGAAAAGCCUGAAAAAAGCCGCUCCGAGCCAGCUCUCCCAAGGUAUCGUGUUCUCCUCCUGGUGUGUCACCUCCCCCCCCAGCCACACGGCUUUAUUGCCGGAGCCAUCUGCGUGGAAACUGGAUGCCGGUCCCCAAAGAGCCCUCCGUGCCCCCUGCCCGCUCUCCAGCUGAUGUCACACAAUCUGUUUGAUCUCACGGCCAGUGACCGGGGAGCGCCGGACGCCCGGGCAGGAGGUGACAUCGAGGGUCGGCCGAGCCCAGCAGGGUGCAGUCCCUACAGCAGGAGGUGAGGGGGUGACCCCGUGGGUGAC
ensembl:lncRNA